rnacentral:rRNA from 1 species
ACCAUAUCACAUUGAAACACCAGUUCUCAUACAAUCACCAAAGUUAAACAACAUUGAGCCUGAUCAGUACCUAGAUGGGUGACUGCUUGGGAAUAGCAGGUACUGUAA